ACUAAAUAGAUACCCAGGUAGUCCACGCUGUAAACGAUGAGUGCUAGAUGCCGGAUUUUUUCGGUGUCGCAGCUAAACGCAUUAAGCACUCCACCUGGGAAGUACGAUCGCAAGGUUGAAACUCAAAGGAAUUGACGGGGGCCCGGCACAAGCAGUGGAGCAUGUGGUUUAAUUCGAUGCAACGCGAAGAACCUUACCUAGGCUUGAAAAGCUUAUGACCGGCUGUGAAAGCAGCUUUCCCGCAAGGGCAUAAGUACAGGUGCUGCAUGGCUGUCGUCAGCUCGUGCCGUGAGGUGUUGGGUUAAGUCCCGCAACGAGCGCAACCCUUACCAUUAGUUGCCACCGGAGCAAUCCGAGCACUCUAAUGGAACUGCCUACGCAAGUAGUGAGGAAGGUGAGGAUGACGUCAAGUCCGCAUGGCCCUUACGCCUAGGGCUACACACGUGCUACAAUGGCCGCCACAACGGGCAGCAAAAUCGCGAGAUGGAGCGAAUCCCUAAAAACGC
rnacentral:rRNA from 1 species